GUCUUGAUGGCUCAGUUGGUUAGAGCGCUGGUCUCAUAUUCACUAUGAUCCGGCUAAACGCUGGGGCUAUCCAGAGGUCGGGAGUUCGAGCCUCCCUCAGGACA